GAAACCAGUCUCCACCGCCAUUGUGUCUUCGAAGGUGGGGUAAGCUAUUGCAACCAUGUCUCUAAGAGUCUUAAUAUGUGGUUUAAGAGGAUUGACAGUCAUGUGUUGUGUGUCUACCUAUUCAGGUGAGUUGUACAUGUCUUGUAAGUAAAAUGUGCCUAAUGUGUUAUAUGAACCACCCCCUUCCAAUACAUACCCAUAACAUAUUCCCCAGCAUCCCCAGGACUAGGAUGUUCAAUAUUCAGGAUUAAUUUUAUAGGGGUUGAUCCUGUCGGUUUACGUAUAGUCAUCCUGUCUGAGUGAUUUCCCAGUUCUGUCCAAUUUUUGUAAGGCACUCUGUGGUCUAUAACCC